AAACACAAUAAUUUUCCAAUUAAACUAUUUUUUCAUAAAAUCACACAAUUAAAUAAAUCUACUCUAGAUAAUUAAGAUGAUAGUAAGUUUACUCACUGUACUAGGAGUAGAUAUACUCUUAUUCUCGGUGGUCGGGUGUAGUCUUUUACCCGUAUCAGAUAACUCACCACCUAUCCACAAUACAUGAUACAAAAAAAUUUAAUAAUUUGUGUCAAAUCAAUAUAUAUCAUUUCAGGCUCUUAUCCAUGCGUAUGCACUAGAUAGGGUGUGAAAUGUUUGGAUAUUCGCUUAAUCACAAUGUCCGACCUAACUCGCCUAUACACGGUGUAAAUUUCUAAAAUCUCCAAUUCAACUCCAAUUCCAUCCAUUUCAAUUUCAAUUAUCCAAUUAUAUCCACAAUACCUCAAUGACUGUGAAUGUGGUCCAAUUUAUCAGUUCGGAUCACAAAUUACGCUUUUACCCCUAGUGGUUAAAAAUUUCAAUUUUUUGCACACCAAAAAUUCCCAUUUAAUUUCCAACCUCAUAAUUCAUCAUUUUUCCAUCUAAUUCUCUUAAAAUAAAGUCAACCUCAUCCUCACACACCAUUGGCUAGAUUCGGCCUAGAGAAAUUCAUGGAGAAAAUGAAUAUUUUUCUUGUUGUUUUACUCAUAAACAUGCUAAACUAACACUAAACACUAACAUAGUUCAAAAUCAAAUUAAUCUAACAACUUUCUCUCUCUAAACCCAUAUGAUCAGAUUUGAAUCCAUCAUCAAAACACAUAAUUUAACCAUGGAAAAUAAGGAGAAAUGCAUGGAAAUGAUAAAUCUUAAGCUAAGCUUGAAAAAUCAUACCUUUAAACACUUGAUUCCUUGAAAAAUCACACUUUUUCUUUGAAUUUUCUCACUCUAGGGUUUGUUCUUAUUUCUCUCUCUCUCCUGCUGGUUUUGGCUGACCCUCC
rnacentral:lncRNA from 1 species